rnacentral:rRNA from 1 species
GAUGAACGCUGGCGGCGUGCUUAACACAUGCAAGUCGAACGAUGAAGCCCAGCUUGCUGGGUGGAUUCGUGGCGAACGGGUGAGUAACACGUGAGUAACCUGCCCUUAACUCUGGGAUAAGCCUGGGAAACUGGGUCUAUUACCGGAUAGGAGCGUCCACCGCAUGGGGGGUGUUGGAAAGAUUUAUCGGUUUUGGAUGGACUCGCGGCGUAUCAGCUUGUUGGUGGGGUAUUGGCUCACCAAGGCGACGACGGGUAGCCGGCCUGAGAGGGUGACCGGCCACACUGGGACUGAGACACGGCCCAGACUCCUACGGGAGGCAGCAGUGGGGAAUAUUGCACAAUGGGCGGAAGCCUGAUGCAGCGACGCCGCGUGAGGGAUGACGGCCUUCGGGUUGUAAACCUCUUUCAGUAGGGAAGAAGCGAAAGUGACGGUACCGGCAGAAGAAGCACCGGCUAACUACGUG